rnacentral:rRNA from 1 species
GGGUUGUGAGGUUAAGCGACUAAGCGUACACGGUGGAUGCCCUGGCAGUCAGAGGCGAUGAAGGGCGUGCUAAUCUGCGAUAAGCGCCGGUAAGGUGAUAUGAACCGUUAUAACCGGCGAUACCCGAAUGGGGAAACCCAGUGUGAUUCGUCACACUAUCAUUACGUGAAUACAUAGCGUAAUGAAGCGAACCGGGGGAACUGAAACAUCUAAGUACCCCGAGGAAAAGAAAUCAACCGAGAUUCCCCCAGUAGCGGCGAGCGAACGGGGAGGAGCCCAGAGCCUGAAUCAGCAUGUGUGUUAGUGGAAGCGUCUGGAAAGGCGCGCGAUACAGGGUGACAGCCCCGUACACAAAAGCGCAUGUGUUGUGAGCUCGAUGAGUAGGGCGGGACACGUGGUAUCCUGUCUGAAUAUGGGGGGACCAUCCUCCAAGGCUAAAUACUCCUGACUGACCGAUAGUGAACCAGUACCGUGAGGGAAAGGCGAAAAGAACCCCGGCGAGGGGAGUGAAAAAGAACCUGAAACCGUGUACGUACAAGCAGUGGGAGCACCCUUUGGGGUGUGACUGCGUACCUUUUGUAUAAUGGGUCAGCGACUUAUAUUCUGUAGCAAGGUUAACCGAAUAGGGGAGCCGGAGGGAAACCGAGUCUUAAUUGGGCGUUAAGUUGCAGGGUAUAGACCCGAAACCCGGUGAUCUAGCCAUGGGCAGGUUGAAGGUUGGGUAACACUAACUGGAGGACCGAACCGACUAAUGUUGAAAAAUUAGCGGAUGACCUGUGGCUGGGGGUGAAAGGCCAAUCAAACCGGGAGAUAGCUGGUUCUCCCCGAAAGCUAUUUAGGUAGCGCCUCGUGAAUUCAUCUCCGGGGGUAGAGCACUGUUUCGGCUAGGGGGCCAUCCCGGCUUACCAACCCGAUGCAAACUGCGAAUACCGGAGAAUGUUAUCACGGGAGACACACGGCGGGUGCUAACGUCCGUCGUGAAGAGGGAAACAACCCAGACCGCCAGCUAAGGUCCCAAAGUCAUGGUUAAGUGGGAAACGAUGUGGGAAGGCCCAGACAGCCAGGAUGUUGGCUUAGAAGCAGCCAUCAUUUAAAGAAAGCGUAAUAGCUCACUGGUCGAGUCGGCCUGCGCGGAAGAUGUAACGGGGCUAAACCAUGCACCGAAGCUGCGGCAGCGA